rnacentral:rRNA from 1 species
AUUGAACGCUGGCGGCAUGCCUUACACAUGCAAGUCGAACGGCAGCACGGGAGCAAUCCUGGUGGCGAGUGGCGAACGGGUGAGUAAUAUAUCGGAACGUGCCCAGUCGUGGGGGAUAACGCAGCGAAAGCUGUGCUAAUACCGCAUACGAUCUAUGGAUGAAAGCGGGGGAUCGCAAGACCUCGCGCGAUUGGAGCGGCCGAUAUCAGAUUAGCUAGUUGGUGAGGUAAAGGCUCACCAAGGCGACGAUCUGUAGCUGGUCUGAGAGGACGACCAGCCACACUGGAACUGGGACACGGUCCAGACUCCGACGGGAGGCAGCAGUGGGGAAUUUUGGACAAUGGGCGAAAGCCUGAUCCAGCAAUGCCGCGUGCAGGAUGAAGGCCUUCGGGUUGUAAACUGCUUUUGUACGGAACGAAACGGUGAGCUCUAAUACAGUUUGCUAAUGACGGUACCGUAAGAAUAAGCACCGGCUAACUACGUGCCAGCCGCCGCGGUAA